UUAUACAAUUUUAAACAUGAAAAUGUAUUAAUGUUAUACACAAUUAAAAAUUAAUAUGUUUUAUAAUAUAGUAAACAGUCUAAAAAUUUCGCCCCGCAUAAUUUCCUAUUAAUUUCCGAUUUUUUCUUUAGGCGCUAGGCCCAAUCCGACCGUCCGACUAGCGCCUAGCGCGUUUCCAAACAGGGGAAUAUAGAAUCCAUCAUAGAUAUAGAAAAGGUCUUAGACAGUGAGAACGGCAGUGAACCUUGCCAUGUUAUUGGCUGGUUGAUAGUGACUUGUUAUUACUUAUUACCCUCAAGAAGCAACGUUCAACAAUAGUUGCAGUGAUCUCGGCCCCAAAACUCAGGCAGCCAACACCUAAGGGCUAAGGGAGGUGUCGUGUCUUGGUCAGCUAUUCCCAGAGAUUUUGUUCCUUAGUGAUUGUGGAUCUAGGCAUUGGGGGUGGUUUGAUUUUGUCUCUUUUCUUCCGGCAACUGAUAGAACUAUUUGCAGAGGAUGGCCUCUGGUCGUCAUCCAUAAUAUACGAGUUGUAAUAAUCUUAUUGAUCUACCCUAAAUAUCCCAUCCCAUUGUGAUUAUCUGGUGCAUUGUUGUUGUUGUUGUUUCACUAUGUGUGUUAUGAUUCGAUUCUCUUUGAAUAAGUGAAAUGUAACUUCUUUUGUUUGAUGGAUUGUGUAUUGAUUGGUGUCACAAUGUGUUUUAAAAAAAAAUAAAUGUCUUUACCCAAAUCGAUGAUUAAUAUUGUAAUUUUAACUCAUGCAAAUAUAAAGAAAAUAGCAUAAAUAAAUAAAAGUCGACAUGCGCUCAUUACAUUUAUUGACUUAUAUGAGCACAAAUUUGAUGAGAAGUAGUUAAAUUAAGGUUCUCGCCAUCAAAGAUGAUGACGAUUCUAACAACUAGAUUCUGUGUGAGGUCAAUGAAAUGAGGUACAAAUACAAUUUGUAGGCUAAAAUUUAGACUUUUUUUCAUCAAGAAGUUAAUCUUUAAGGUAGAUCGAUGAGACAUGCCAUAUUUUGAUUAAUAAAUCAAUGACCAAAGCAAGUUAAAUAAAUGACUGCUAAAGAAGGAUCAAAAUGUCAAAUUUCUCAUCAGUCGAGACGGACAAAAACCCUUGGUCUUGUGUUUUUUGUGUGAGAAAAUAUUUUUUUAUUGGUGGUUUUUAGAACAAACAUUUUGGGGACUAAAAACUAUCUUAAAACAUGAUUAUCGGUGGUGGGAGGAGGGUUCUUACGCAUGGGUUCCAUUUCCACCACUUUUUUGCAAAAACCGUGCUUCAAUAUCGCCAAAUAAGAAACGUUUCACAGGGGUUUGUUGUACUGUUUGCGGGUCCCACAGACACGUGGUGACCCGCGAUUGAUUCAUUUUUUAUUUUUUUUUUUAAAUUAGAAAAAAAAAAAAAUUAAGAGCCCCGAAAACGUUUUUACCGUAGAAACACUUUCACAUCAACCAAAACCUAGGACUCAAAGACGAGUCAAGUCCAGUUCACAAUGGCAGUGGUGUAUACAGUAUACAGUAUACAGAAUCGGAUCUAGACAUAGGCAAGUGAAACAUUAACUUUUGCGCUCAAAAUUUUUGGAUAUUUUAAUAUGCAUAAGUCCUUAAAGUAUAUAAAAGAAAUUUAUUAAUAUUUUUAAAAAAUUGUUUCUAGUCCCCAAAAGCCGUUCCCAUAUGUGUAGUGUGCUUUUGCAUAACAUUUCUCUCACGCUUUUCGUAGUUUUUUCUAAAACUAUUGAUGACAUGUUUUUGUGAAAAUAUUAGAUUUAUUCUAGUGAUAUUCUUUUACAUGUUUCUAAUAUACAUUUUCACUCUUUAAAUAAAAAUUAUAAAAGUUUUUUAAGAGCAGAAAAAAUCCAUUUUUGAACAUAUUUAACCAGCUUUUUACUUAAUCCAUUAAAUUUAUAAAAGAAAAAGAUUCCAACACAACUAACGUUAUAACGUAUAUGUGAGAAGUGAUGCACUUCAUUAGAACAAAAAGUCAAAAUCUACUCCUUUUCCACGUUCUUGUAUAUCUUUUUUUUGUAACUGAAAAAAAGAUAUACAAAACGUGGAAAACGUAUAUCUUCUUUUCACAGAAACUAGAACAACAAACAAAACAAGGAGAGAAAUAAAACAACAAAAGAAAUGUAAACACAAGAAAUUAAGGGUGAGAAACAAGACACUGAGAUGAUGGGGUCACAGACCGACAAUGGCAUUAUACAUGCAUCGUUCGUUGUACAUUUGUAAUAAUUUAACAACGCAUCCGUAUUGAUCUGUUUCUCUAUAUAUAUAGGACCACGAUUAAGUGUUCUUCAACGUCGUUAAGCUAUCAGCGAAAAAAAAAACGAUGAUGAAAUGCAAGUUGGGUUUCUUAAUUGGUGUAAUGUUCCUCUUGUCCAUUGCACUAAUUGACCCCAACGUUGGCCAACGUAACUUACUCAUCUCGCACUCUAGAAACGGGGUUGGAAAUAUACAUAUCAACAAAGGAAUGAAGAUCGGCUCUAACGGCAGUACUUCUAUACGUGAUAAAGGUCCUCAUCUCUAAUAACGAGUUGUGAUGAUCUUAUCGAUCUUGAUAAGUUGUUAUUUCAUCGUGUGUGAUGUGAUACUUUUUAAAUAAAAUGAAAUGGACUCUCUUGUUUGAUACUUAACUGCCUAUUAAAAUUGUGUACUUAGAGGUACUAGCUACAAUGUUUUUCUAAAAUUGUGUA